rnacentral:rRNA from 1 species
CAGUCGCCACGGGAAUACGGAGGGUGCAAGCGUUAAUCGGAAUUACUGGGCGUAAAGCGCACGCAGGCGGUCUGACAAGUCAGAUGUGAAAUCCCCGGGCUUAACCUGGGAACUGCAUUUGAAACUGUCAGGCUGGAGUCUUGUAGAGGGGGGUAGAAUUCCAGGUGUAGCGGUGAAAUGCGUAGAGAUCUGGAGGAAUACCGGUGGCGAAGGCGGCCCCCUGGACAAAGACUGACGCUCAGGUGCGAAAGCGUGGGGAGCAAACAGGAUUAGAUACCCCAGUAGUCCCUGUCUCUUAUAC